rnacentral:rRNA from 1 species
GGGUGAAAUCUAUAUACUUAUUAGUGAUGUGUUGUUUUUAAGAUUUAUUUUAAAACUAUCGAAAUUUAGAUUUAAACCAGGAUUAGAUACCCUGUUAUACUAAAAUGAAACAUAAUUACGCUUGAGUAGUAAAAAGUUAUGAUCUCGAAACUUAGAGGAUUUGGCGGUAUUUAAUUCUAGUUAGAGGAACCUGCUCUGUGAACGAUAUGCCACGAAUUAUCUUACUUUAUCUUGUAUUCAGUUUGUAUACCUCCAUUACAAGUAAUAUUUUUAAAUAUUUUCUGAGAUAGAAAGCUUCUAAUAUAUUAGGUCAAGGUGCAGCUAAUGGUAGAGUAGUUGUGGGUUACAGUAUGUUAUACAUUUGUGGAUAAGUGUUAUGAAAUUAUGCUUUGAAAUUGGAUUUAAUUGUAUUCUUAAAAUAAUAAGUUAAGAUGAUAACAGCUCUAAAAUAUGUACACAUCGCCCGUCGCUCUCAUUAUAAGGUGAGAUA